rnacentral:rRNA from 1 species
AGUGGAAGCGUCUGGAAAGGCGCGCGAUACAGGGUGACAGCCCCGUACACAAAAGCGCAUGUGCUGUGAGCUCGAUGAGUAGGGCGGGACACGUGGUAUCCUGUCUGAAUAUGGGGGGACCAUCCUCCAAGGCUAAAUACUCCUGACUGACCGAUAGUGAACCAGUACCGUGAGGGAAAGGCGAAAAGAACCCCGGCGAGGGGAGUGAAAAAGAACCUGAAACCGUGUACGUACAAGCAGUGGGAGCACAGGUUUACCUGUGUGACUGCGUACCUUUUGUAUAAUGGGUCAGCGACUUAUAUUCUGUAGCAAGGUUAACCGAAUAGGGGAGCCGGAGGGAAACCGAGUCUUAAUUGGGCGUUAAGUUGCAGGGUAUAGACCCGAAACCCGGUGAUCUAGCCAUGGGCAGGUUGAAGGUUGGGUAACACUAACUGGAGGACCGAACCGACUAAUGUUGAAAAAUUAGCGGAUGACCUGUGGCUGGGGGUGAAAGGCCAAUCAAACCGGGAGAUAGCUGGUUCUCCCCGAAAGCUAUUUAGGUAGCGCCUCGUGAAUUCAUCUCCGGGGGUAGAGCACUGUUUCGG